ensembl:lncRNA
UUCUGUAGUGUUUUUGUUAGAUCUUAUACUUGUUGUAAUUUAAAUAUGUCCUUAUAUGUCAGCAGGAGAGGUUUCAGUCAAGAUUAGCCAAACUACGGGAACAUCAUAACAAUUGCUCCAAGCGCUUCAAUAGAGCAGAAAUUAAAAAAACCAACACAACAAAAAAGACUGCCAUACAUGAGGAUUGCGUUGUGAGUAAUGUGUACACAUGAUCAUCACAUUACUUUAACACCUCAGUGUAUUUAAAGGGGUCAUAUUCUGCGUUUUCACUUUUUGCAGCUCUAGGUUUUCGUCGGUCGAGAGGGAGCUGCUGUUGUCAUUGCCCCCCCAAACAAAAGAAAGGAAAACUGCUCUUGACUGAAUCACUUAUUAACUUAAAUAAGAAUCAUCUAUAUUUAAUGUAUAGAGUGAAGAUUAUUUUUACAUUUAUUACUUCAUAGAAUGUCUGUAGUAGGCUAUUUUUAGAAGCCUUUACUUGGCUACUAUCUGAAAAGAAAACUAUUUAAUUUGUAUUUGUGAGUAAUAUAUUCAUAUACUGUAUCAUUUAGCUUGUAAGUAAUACUUAGUGUUUAAUUGCCUUCAGUAAGCCUGACAGUGUUUUAUUACUAUUUUUUGCUUUUGUGUUAGUGGCAGUUUCUUACUGCAAAAAAAAAAAAAUUAAUAAAAAAAUUAUUUGGAGGCGGGUGCUUUAUAGAGAUCAGAAGAAAUCUGAGGGUUUGGCAGAGCUCAGGAGAUUGGUCCUGCAAUAAUGUAAAUUAUUAGUAGUGUUAUAUUAAAAAUUAUAGUGUUAUAAAAAUAGUGUUUUUUAAACAAUUAAACAUGAAAACCUAUUCUACAACACCUCAAAAACAAUAUAAAGACUUCACAAAAGGACAUAAUAUGACCCCUCUCAACUGCUAAUGGUCAUUAACCAGUUUCCUUUGUCAUUUGAAGCUUUCCACUUGUUUUUCUCUCUUAUGUUUUGAAGGUAUUCCAGUCAUCUGAUGCACCCUGUGCUAUGUGUACCUCUGUAAAGGCAUCACCACCCUCUCGCCCUUCUCCACUCCCCUCAUCAUCAUCAUCAUCAGCUGCCCCUGUGAUGGGCACAUCAUCUUCAUCCUCCCCAUCAUCACCUGCCCCUUUACCCUGUGAUGCAUCCACUUCUGUGAUCUCCCCAUCACAGGUGUCCCAGACACUCUCAAUAAGGGAGGUUCAUCAAUCCCUUCAAAAAGAAAAUGGGAGGACUCUGAGGUAAAAGCAGUGAAAAAAACAUAUGAUGAAGUUCAUAAAGACCUGCAAAGUUCCUGGUACGCUAGACUGUGAGAGAUGCAUUGAAGCAGAGUCAGAAGCCUUAAAAGGAACGAACAUGGACUGGUGUGAAAAAAAUUAUGUGCGGAACA